CCCGACUGCUAUCAGAGUGAGAUUAAGCCAUGCGAGUCAACGUAGCAAUACGUGGCAUACGGCUCAGUAACACGUAGUCAACAUAACCAAAGGACGUGGAUAAACUCGGGAAACUGAGGCUAAACCGCGAUAGAUCAAGAUACCUGGAAUGGUUUUUGAUCAAAAUCUAUAUGGCCUUUGGAUUGGACUGCGUCCGAUCAGGCUGUUGGUGAGGUAAUGGCCCACCAAACCUAUAACCGGUACGGGCUCUGAGAGGAGGAGCCCGGAGAUGGGUACUGAGAUAAGGACCCAGGCCCUAUGGGGCGCAGCAGGCGCGAAACCUCUGCAAUAGGCGAAAGCUUGACAGGGUUACUCUGAGUGACUUUCGUUAAGAAAGUCUUUUGACACCUCUAAAAAUGGUGUAGAAUAAGGGGUGGGCAAGUCUGGUGUCAGCCGCCGCGGUAAUACCAGCACCCCGAGUGGUCGGGACGAUUAUUGGGCCUAAAGCAUCCGUAGCCGGCCUUACAAGUCCUCCGUUAAAUCCAGCUGCUUAACAGAUGGGCUGCGGAGGAUACUAUAAGACUAGGAGGCAGGAGAGGCAAGCGGUACUCAGUGGGUAGGGGUAAAAUCCGUUGAUCCAUUGAAGACCACCAGUGGCGAAGGCGGCUUGCCAGAAUGCGCUCGACGGUGAGGGAUGAAAGCUGGGGGAGCAAACCGGAUUAGAUACCCGGGUAGUCCCAGCUGUAAACGAUGCAGACUCGGUGAUGGACUAGCUUCAUGCUAGUCCAGUGCCGCAGGGAAGCCGUUAAGUCUGCCGCCUGGGUAGUACGGUCGCAAGACUGAAACUUAAAGAAAUUGGCGGGGGAGCACCACAAGAGGUGGGACCUGCGGUUC
rnacentral:rRNA from 1 species